CCUGACGACCAUAGCAAGGUGGUCCCACUCCUUCCCAUCCCGAACAGGACAGUGAAACGCCUUCGCGCGAUGAUAGUGGAUGUACAUCUGUGAAAGUAGGUCAUCGUCAGGC
rnacentral:rRNA from 1 species